ACGGCAGCAGCUGCCUCUGCAGCCCCGCCAGGGCCCCACCUUCCUGCCAGGUGACAGGGCUGUCAGGCCGGGGUGCAGGCCGGCAGCCAGUGCUGGUGCCCGGCUCCCACGGACCGGCAUGGCUUGCAGGGAAGUCUUUUGGAUCAGGCACAGGACUCCAAAUUCUAUAGGGAUUGGAACAGGCACUGAAACACGGCAUCCUUCCUGGAUGGGAAAGAGCUGAGAGCCCCCGGGAGGCCUCCAGCCUGGCUGGCUUCACUCUGUUUUAUUCUGCUAGCUGAGUCUCACCUCUGUUAUGUGCUUCUGGGAAGAGGAGAGGUGAUAUGUGGCCAAAUCUGGUUACCCAAAGUUCCAAGACACGGCCCCUGUCAUCCAUUUGGACCAGGCUUUGGAGUUGAACAGACCUCAGCAUCAGGCAGAUUCCUUGAAGCCUCCGUUUCUCCAUAUAUAAAAUGGGAAUAAUGAGAAUAUCUGCCUCGUAGCUUGAAAUGAAUGUUAUAAACUCUGAAUGCGAAGCUAUGGGGGUGUGAAAGUUGCAGAUACCAGGAUGAAAUCACUUUUGUCAGAACCAGAAGAAUUAGAGCCGGGAAAUCACGAAGGAGGGGAACUCAUGCUUGCAUGUUUGAGAUAAGGACUGUCUCAAGGACUUUCUAAAAUAGCCCCCAAGAAAUUCCUUCUUCAGGACUGCAGCAAUUCAGGUAAGAUGUUCUCCAAAGAACACUGCCCAGUAACGUCAUCUCCACCAAUGAACUGAUGCCAACUCUAGCUUUGAGCCUCUGCAGCCAAUGAAGUCUGUUUCCAAGCAGCUUAUGUGAACUUCUCUUUUUUUUUUUUUUUUUUUUUUUUUUUUUUGCCAAUAAAAGCUUCCCUUUGCUGUCCCCUCUCCAGACGCACCUAUGGCUUGCCACAGCUAUACUUCCAGAGACUAAUCCAUUUAUGCUUACUCCCAAAUACAUUCAUCAUAUAGGAGAUAUUUUUUUCUGAUGUCUGUUUUUUCAGGCUGACAGUAGGCACUUAGUCAAGGCUGGCUAUUGUUGGCAAUAAGGGGCCCCUCUCCUGGGGCUUGGGCACUGUUUGGCCACACCUAGAGUUUAGCUGCAGCCACUUCCUUCCCACUACAUUCCUGGCUACAGCUUUGGUGCCUUCAGAGGGAACAAGUCCUCCUGGUUGUCCAGCCUGGCAGGGCAGAAAUUCACUGUCCCUGCUGGACUCUUGCCUGGUCAAGUCUUGAGAGAGGGAAUAACUCAUGUUGAUGGCCAGGCUGCUCAGCGGAGGGGCUGCCGAGUCGCGGGUGCUGGCUGAGUCCCUGGUGGAGUCUGAGAAGCUACCACUAAAAGGCAGUCACUCGGGAUCCUUCCAGAAACUAGAAAGACUGUGGACUUUGGAACGAGAGGCUGUGCAUCCUUCCACCCACCCCAACACAUAUGCACGCAUGCACACCCCCCCACCCACAGAAUGUUAGUACUACUGAGUGUGACCAUUGACGUCUCCCCUAAAUGAGGCCUUACAGAGGCAAUUGUGUUGGCCCAGCAUAGAGGUCAGCAGACUACGGCCUCCCAGGCCGAAUCCAGCCCUCCCUCCUAUUUUUCUAAAUAAAGUUUUUAUUAGAUCACAGCCAUGCCCAUUUGUUUAUUUAUUGUCUAAAGCUGCUUUCAUGCUACAAUGGCAGAGUUGAGACGUUGAGACAGGCCCACAAAGCCUAAAGCUUAAAGCCCACAAAGUUUUUUGGCCCGGUGCAAAAGACCACAUAG
rnacentral:lncRNA from 10 species